CCUCCUUCCCUUGAAAUAAAACAAAAAUCACGGGUCUUAUAAGCUAGCUGUCGAAGACUGAGUCCGGUGAUUGUGAACGAACCUCCAUGGACGACCCUCUUCUCUCUGUCCCGUUCCCAGUGCUAGUUCGUCAUGCAAGAUAUUGCUUUUGUACAAGGAUGAUGCCAAGCAAGAAUCUGGUAAUUUGUAACAUAUCCUUCGGUAGUUAAAUAAAAGAGUAGAAACAUAAUGUGCUAAAAUAAAAAAGGAAUAUAUACACUGU